UACGUAGGGUGCAAGCGUUAAUCGGAAUACUGGGCGUAAAGCGUGCGCAGGCGGUUAUGCAAGACAGAUGUGAAAUCCCCGGGCUCAACCUGGGAACUGCAUUUGUGACUGCAUAGCUGGAGUGCGGCAGAGGGGGAUGGAAUUCCGCGUGUAGCAGUGAAAUGCGUAGAUAUGCGGAGGAACACCGAUGGCGAAGGCAAUCCCCUGGGCCUGCACUGACGCUCAUGCACGAAAGCGUAGGGGAGCGAAA
rnacentral:rRNA from 1 species